ensembl:lncRNA
AUGACGAAAUUAAUAACACCCAUGUGGGAAACAAUGAGAUACAACGAAGUUCAUUUAAUAGUAGCAAAAAUACCAUCCCAAAUGAAGAACCUAAAAAUAGUAAAAAAGAAAAAAAAAAAGAAAAAGAAAAAAAAUGAGCAGAAAAAUGAGCAAAAUGGCAGCCAAACAAAUAAUGCUCCAGAUGGUAGUACCACCACCAAUAACCGAGGCACCACCACUAACAAUCGAGACACCAACACUAACAAUCGAGACACCAACACUAACAAUCGAAGUAACAGUCUUACUAAUAACAGCUCCAAACGUAGUACCUAUGACAAUAACCUAUUAACCAAUAGAAGCGAAUCAAAAGAAAAUACAACAAACAAAGUCGAAACAAACUACAGUCAAGAUCGUUUAAUACAAUUUUUAAGUUUAUACGUUUUUAUAAAAUUUAAAUUAACUUUAAGAAUAGGUAUUAAAAAAAUAAAAAAAGUAAAAAUAAAAAAUAACCAUUUUUAUCAUCAUAUGUUUAGGUUUAAUACGAUUAUUAUUAAUGCAUUAUUUUGUUCGAGUGAUGAUAGUACGAUGGCAUGUAUUAGAUUAAGUUUAAAUCCUAAUGCACGUACAGGUAUUCGUAACACCACCAAACAAAUUUUAACUGAUAUUUACAAUUCUGGAUUGAAUAUAACAGAAGAAGACAUAGACCAAAUGAAUGAAAUCUAUGAAGAACAUGUUUUAUUAAAUACUCAACAAAAUUUGAUUAAAACUGUUUGUAAAUUAAAUACAGAUAUACAUGAACUUUUAUCAAUCGAUAAUAAAAGUAAUAAUAAUAAUAAACGUAGUAGUACUAGUAGUAGUAAGAGUAAAACUAAAACUGUAACUAAUAAUGAAAUGUUGAUAAAUUCACCUCGUAUGUUGAUAAACAAAAAUAUGAACAAUACCAACGAAAGUAAUAAUAUUUUAAAUAACAAAAUGGUACAUACAUUAGGUAAUAAUGGUAGUAAUAGUAGUAGUAGUAUUAUUAUUGCACAAACGUUGGAAAUACCUGUUGACAUAAAUACUAAUACUGGAUAUUGUUAUGGUACAAAUAAAAAUGAAAAAAGCGGAAAUAAAUCAAACAAAAUAGUAAUUAAAGAACAUUCCUCUAUAUUGCAUAACAAAACAAUAGGACAAAUUACUACCUCCUCAUCUAAUAAUAUGUUAAUUGAUAACAAUACAAAUAACAACGAUAAUAAAAAAAUAAUAUCUUACAAUUUGAAAAAUGUAACUUUAUUAAAUGGUAAUUUAAAAAUCGAAAGUGAUUAUGCAUCUGAAAGGAGUGGAAAUAUAUAUAACGUAGAAAUGAGUGGAAAAGGAAACGUUUUAAAUGAUAGUAAUACAUUAAAAGUUGGUAAAAAGAGAAGUAUUCGUGGUACUAGCCACUCAGGUCGUAAUAAUAGUACCGGUAGCUAUAACAAUAGUGUUACGACUGUUACACAAAAUAAUACCCCUCUAACUAAUAUGAAUACAGAAAAUAAUGUAAAUACAACACUUAUGAAUAAUUUAAAAAAAAAAAAAAAUAUGUCACCAUAUGUGUUUUCAUUGUAAUGCCAUAACAGAUGAAUUUUUUAAAACAGAUGAGCAAGAUAUAGAAAAUUAUACAAAAGAAUUUACAUUAUGUAAUGUAAAAAUACAUACUGGUAGAACCCAUCAAAUUAGAGUACAUAUGGAUCAUAUAGGUCAUCCAUUAGUAUCAGAUGUAAAAUAUUUAAAUACAUCUCUUAGUAAUUUGGAUAAAUUUUGGUGUUUCCGUAUGUUCUUACAUUCAGUUAUGUUAGAAUUUAGUAAUCCUGAUUAUUAUUUUUAUAAAAUGCAUAAAGAUUUGAAAAAAAAUUUAUAUUCAGCUGGUGUUGUUUUAUCAAAUAAUAACAUUUCGAAAAAACCACCUCCCGAAAGAAUGAUAAAAGCAAUUUGUCCCUUACCAACUGACUUAAGAUCAACAUUAGAGAAUGAGUUAGAUGUUGUAGAUAAUUUAGAAAAUGAAAAUAGUUAUGUAAAUAAAAUAUUAAAAAUGAGUGUAUUUGAUAAAAAU